UACGAAGGGUGCAAGCGUUAAUCGGAAUUACUGGGCGUAAAGGGUGCGUAGGCGGUUCGUUAGGUCUGUUGUGAAAUCCCCGGGCUCAACCUGGGAAUGGCAAUGGAUACUGGCGGGCUAGAGUGUGUCAGAGGAUGGUGGAAUUCCUGGUGUAGCGGUGAAAUGCGUAGAUAUCAGGAGGAACACCUGUGGCGAAAGCGGCUCACUGGACCAUAACUGACGCUGAUGCACGAAAGCUAGGGGAGCAAACAGG
rnacentral:rRNA from 1 species